GAUUGACCUCGGAUCAGGUAGGGAUACCCGCUGAACUUAAGCAUAUCAAUAAGCGGAGGAAAAGAAACCAACAGGGAUUGCCUCAGUAACGGCGAGUGACGG
rnacentral:rRNA from 1 species